GAUGAACGCUGGCGGCGUGCCUAACACAUGCAAGUCGAGCGGCAGCGAGGGGUGCCUGCACCCUGUCGGCGAGCGGCGGACGGCUGAGUAACGCGUGGGAACGUGCCCCAAAGUGAGGAAUAACUGCCCGAAAGGGUAGCUAAUACCGCAUAUUAUCUUCGGAUCAAAGGAUUUAUCCGCUUUGGGAGCGGCUCGCGUCGGAUUAGGUAGUUGGUGAGGUAAUGGCUCACCAAGCCGACGAUCCGUAGCUGGUCUGAGAGGAUGCCCAGCCAGACUGGAACUGAGACACGGUCCAGAAUCCUACGGGAGGGAGCAGUGAGGAAUCUUCCACAAUGGGCGAAGGCCUGAUGGAGCAACGCCGCGUGCAGGACGAAGGCCUUCGGGUUGUAAACUGCUUUUAUAAGUGAGGAAUAUGACGGUAACUUAUGAAUAAGGAUCGGCUAACUACGUG
rnacentral:rRNA from 1 species